GCCCCGCAGCCAAGUUAGCCAAAGCAGCCCAGGGCCGCCGCCCAGCGCCCCCGAGCCCCGAGGAGAGCCGUCGCGACCGGGGGCUGCCUGGGCAAGGGCGGGGCGAGAGGGCAGAACGCCUGCUCUCGGACAGGGUGUUCUUAAAAUACACCGGAAAGAACGGAGGUAAAAAUACUGGAGUGUUUCCUCCACACUGGAAAGAGGGCAGCGCUGUGAACAAUGGAGCCAUCAAAAAGGCCUUCUCCCAGCCUCCUCACCAACCACGGACAUUCCUGGCCCAACAAGACCUCCUGGCCAGGUUUUGAGCCCUGCUUCCCAGAUCUGGGGACCCUUCACCUGCCUCUACUACUGCAAAUGAUUGGAUAUUCGUCUGACUUGGCUCUUCCCUAAUGUGUGGAACUAAUUUUGUUCACUCUGUUUCAUGCUGGACCUGGCCUGAAAAUGGGCCCUUAUAUUGUCUUUGCACUUUCCAACUUGCCAAGUUUCUGAAAGAAGGACCAAAGUAAUGCCAAGAACUCCCAGAUGAAGAGGACCUUCCUUAGACCUAUAACAGAUUCACUACUUGACUUCAGAGGGAAGUUUCAGCUAAUUCUCAGGAAAAGGUCAAAACAGGCCUGUGACUGUCCCUUGAAUACUGAAGGUAUAAACAAGCUUCUGGCUCCUCCAGGUCAAGCAGAGGAACACUUUUAUUAGAA
rnacentral:lncRNA from 1 species